rnacentral:misc_RNA from 1 species
AAAGUCGUAACAAGGUUUCCGUAGGUGAACCUGCGGAAGGAUCAUUAACACGUAUCCAACGUUAAACCCCCUCCGUGAACCUUCAAACGCAGUGCCUUGGCGCUAAGAGGGCUUAAUCAACCCAACGCGGGUGUAGCCAAUUAACAGCAAUCUCUGCACUCCGUCGUAGGACAAUGGAAGGAGGAGAGACUUCUGAUUGGUAGCGUUACCCAAGAUAAUGCACGCUUGACCAAGUCGGUUAUUUUUCCCCAAGCAAUCAGUGAGUGAAAGUGUCAUUGGUUGUGUAAGGAUUUCGCUUGACGAUCACUAGAGGCCGCUCACCGGCCGGUGGAUUAACUUACAGAUCCUUCAAUGGAUUCCUCCCCGACCCCAAUUUUUACUACCGCUCCGCGCUUAACAGCGUGGGGCACUUAAGAAAAACGUACUAAACAACUGUUAACAAUGGAUAUCUUGGUUCUC